UGUUGGUCAGGGGCAAAUAUUCAUUAGAGGCCUACUGAACAUUUCUUACUGUGGUGAGAAUGGUUAUUGAUCUGCGCCACCAGAGCUCUUUCUCAGACCAACAGCUGCAAGCCCCUUUAAAACUGCUUUUAUAAAAAGACCUCCAACUGCCAUUGGCGCUGGGACGACGCCUUUGUGCGAGGGGAGUUGCACAAUGCCGGCCGGGAGUGUGGUGGAAAGUUUAACGCCUCACCUCUCCCGCCCUGUUGUACUGAAAGCGACAACAAUUACAAUAAUAUGCACGUCAGCACCGUAUACCGGCUGGCGCCGACGUAUGACCGAGUUUCUGUAACAAGGGUUUAACAUGUUAAAUGUAUAAGCGUGAUCCCGACUUUUCGCUAUUUCCUUUCACACGGCUGUCGAUUCUAUUGCUCUGUUUCAACCCUCAACUGUUCACGCAGAACAAUAACAGCGGCGGGGGGGAAAAAAGUAUCCAGUCAUGGCCUUUAAGUGAAAUUUCUGUAUGGAAAUCAACAACAAUGGCCCACGCAAUCUAGACAGGUGGGCGAGAAGAGGGCCAUACACCUGUCAAUGAAAAGGAGGGAGGGGGUCGCAAGUGCUGAGUGAGCAUUAGCGCCUUCAUGUGACCUAUGGACUGCCCCGGUGCGCCCAAAGCCCAAAUCCGUCUCACAAUAGCUUCCUGUUCCACUUGGAUCACCCUUGUUUUCAAACAUCAGCAAACGCGGCAAGCCACUGGGGGCGUCGCUGACACAAGAGAAGCGGGGGUGCCCGGAAAAGUGGGAGGGCAGAAGUGAAAAUGUUAACUAUGGUCACUGAAACCCAGCACCGUGGACACAGCAGAGGCCGUCAUAUAAGACAAGGUGCACACCAAGGAACCUUCCAGCACCACAGGAGGAUUCGACCAACUCAUCAAGAGGACUUUUUUCCUCCCCGUUUUUUUCCCCAUCAGCAUACAAAUGGGAGGUACUCGCCCGGAGGACAGCGAGGGGGGUCACUGGGAUGGUCGAGCGCCGUCUGGACCGCGAGAAUUAGAAGGAGGGGGCAUCCCGUUCAGCCUUACAUGGCAACCAGAGGAAAGCCUCGAGCGUUGAAGUGAAUUUACACUCAAAGUCACCUUACGGUGCAGACUACCAUACUUGGGAGGGAAAGCGGCGAAGGAAAGCGUUCCGCUCGUAACUUCUCCGGCUUGGCCCGAAAGAAAGCAGUUACAAUCUGUGUGUCGGGACAAGACACGGACGGCGAGGCUGAAUGACAAAGUUGCGCUUGUGCCCAUUUCAAUCGAAUAUCACGUUCAAGGUCUGAAGAGAGAGAUAUCCCACAAUGCUUUGCUAAAGCUGGUAAAAUGGAACCAAAUCACCUCUUGAAUGGAUUUGGUCCCCUUCAACCAGCUGUAGCUAUGCUUUGAUGACUGCAGGGAUUCGACUGAGGUGUUGCUCUUCAAACGACCGCCUACGAUUGCCGUGUUCCAUGUCUCGCUUGAAAAGAACAAUAAAGUCACUGCAUCAAACUUUUUUUUUGGCCCCAGUCCCCCUUUUUGGUAUUCCGAGCACGCCGGUCGGUGGUCAGCUUUACAAAAUAGCAGGGCCAGAAGAGACCGCUCGCCGCUCUCGCUCAGUCGCCUCCUCAAAUGACAGUCGCCGGUCGGGGAGCUGGCGGUUAAUGCGGCUUGGCAGGGGUGUGACGCUAAUGUAAAACAAGCUAAAUGGCUCUGCAAAUAUAGAGAUGCUAGCACCUGACCAAAACAUACUGUUCAAAACUAGCCAUUAAAAAAGUAACAUACUGGGUCCCACAUUGAACAUACUAGGUAAGAGACAACAAGUGUACAGUAACUGCUUUAAAAGAUUGACAGUUAAAUUACAAUUAUGAUUAAUUGAGCCUGAGCAAAUGAAUUCACUUCACAUAAUCAGAUUGGCCUAUUGUAAAAUGUACAAGCGAGAAUGUGACCAAUCCAAACAGCAGUAGUGUCGCAACACCUGCUUCAGUUUGCCAUCCUUGUUAUGACACGACCGUGGCGCCACUAACUUGACAGCCGCUAGCUCCCAUAGAGGCAGCAGAGUCAUUACCAUAUGUUAAAAGAAACAGUGACCGUUACAAUUACAGGGCGCAAACAUUACACAGGGAGGUGACGUGCUCAAAUGGGACGGAGCGACCAAUGCGGGGGUUUGUUUGGAGCCCCCCACCCGCUCAUCUCAACCUUUAUGAGUCAUGGGCUAUUAAUCUGUAAACUGUUUACAGUUUUAGAGCAGGUAGUGACUUCCAGCAGCCCGAGGGGAAAAAGACACAGAGAUGAGCCAGGCUGAGAUGGCGGUAAACACACUCGGUGGAAAGAAAUCUGCUGUCCAAAAACACACACACAGCGCGCUGCCUGCGAUGUACGCGCUAUACUACUGUAUAUUUCCCUUAUGGUUACCGACAACUGUAAAACAUGACAGCACGAUGCAUCAAGACGCAGACAGGCAGCAGCGUGUCAGGAGGGAGCAGGGUGGAACCGAACAAAGCCUCAUUAUUCUUUUUUAUUUAACACUUGCCUGUUAUGAAUGUCAAAACAUGACUGAAAAUGCUGACUGUGCAGUUAAUAAAGGUUUGACUCUGAAACGAA